rnacentral:rRNA from 1 species
AUGUUUUUGAUGUUUCUCUCCUUCAGCGCCUCUUUGACGAGGUGCACGCCAGCACUGCUCAGCUCGACGGCCCUCCCCAAGGGCGACGGCAUCCCCUCGCCGGGAGCGUUCCGGCUGGUCUCACUUCAAAACGACGACGUGAAGAUCCUGUGUCACGGCCUCGCCACCAGGCUUAAGAGACAAAUCAGCCGUGUCGUUGACAUGGAUCAAUCAGGGUUUAUGGCGGGAAGGAGGAGGCCGCUGUUGCGGAAGGCCUCUAUUAUUUGUAGUGUUUUAAAUAGCGGGCUAUGGCAAUAUAGUGGCAACACUUAA